rnacentral:rRNA from 1 species
AACGAACGCUGGCGGCAGGCCUAACACAUGCAAGUCGAGCGCGCCUUCGGGUGAGCGGCGGACGGGUGAGUAACGCGUGGGAAUAUGCCCUUCUCUACGGAAUAGUCCUGGGAAACUGGGGGUAAUACCGUAUACGCCCUUUGGGGGAAAGAUUUAUCGGGGAAGGAUUAGCCCGCGUUGGAUUAGGUAGUUGGUGGGGUAAUGGCCUACCAAGCCGACGAUCCAUAGCUGGUUUGAGAGGAUGAUCAGCCACACUGGGACUGAGACACGGCCCAGACUCCUACGGGAGGCAGCAGUGGGGAAUCUUAGACAAUGGGGGCAACCCUGAUCUAGCCAUGCCGCGUGAGCGAUGAAGGCCUUAGGGUUGUAAAGCUCUUUCAGCUGGGAAGAUAAUGACGGUACCAGCAGAAGAAGCCCCGGCUAACUCCGUG